rnacentral:rRNA from 1 species
CCUACGGGUGGCUGCAGUCGAGAAUCUUCGGCAAUGGGCGAAAGCCUGACCGAGCGACGCCGCGUGUGGGAUGAAGGCCUUCGGGUUGUAAACCACUGUCGGAGGGGAUGAAGUGUUAGUGGGUUCUCCCAUUAACUUGACUGAUCCUCGGAGGAAGGGUGGGCUAAGUUCGUGCCAGCAGCCGCGGUAAGACGUACCACCCAAACGUUAUUCGGAAUCACUGGGCUUAAAGAGUCCGUAGGCGGCUCGAAAAGUUGGAUGUGAAAUACCUCGGCCUAACCGAGGAACUGCAUUCAAAACUACCGGGCUUGAGAGAGACAGAGGUAAGCGGAACUGAUGGUGGAGCGGUGAAAUGCGUUGAUAUCAUCAGGAACACCGGUGGCGAAAGCGGCUUACUGGGUCUCUUCUGACGCUGAGGGACGAAAGCUAGGGGAGCGAACGGGAUUAGAUACCCCAGUAGUC